rnacentral:rRNA from 1 species
UACAGAGGGUGCGAGCGUUGUUCGGAAUCACUGGGCGUAAAGCGCACGUAGGCGGAUUGCUAAGUCAGGGGUGAAAUCCUGGAGCUCAACUCCAGAACUGCCUUUGAUACUGGCGAUCUUGAGUCCGGGAGAGGUGAGUGGAACUGCGAGUGUAGAGGUGAAAUUCGUAGAUAUUCGCAAGAACACCAGUGGCGAAGGCGGCUCACUGGGCCGUUCCUGACGCUGAGACGCGAAAGCUAGGGGAGCGAACAGG